rnacentral:rRNA from 1 species
UACGAAGGGGGCUAGCGUUGCUCGGAAUGACUGGGCGUAAAGGGCGCGUAGGCGGAAUGUACAGUCAGGCGUGAAAUUCCUGGGCUUAACCUGGGGGCUGCGUUUGAUACGUGCGUUCUUGAGUGAGGAAGAGGGUUGUGGAAUUCCCAGUGUAGAGGUGAAAUUCGUAGAUAUUGGGAAGAACACCGGUGGCGAAGGCGGCAACCUGGUCCUUGACUGACGCUGAGGCGCGAAAGCGUGGGGAGCAAAC